rnacentral:rRNA from 1 species
UACGAAGGGGGCUAGCGUUGCUCGGAAUCACUGGGCGUAAAGCGUGCGCAGGCGGUUUUGCAAGCCGGAUGUGAAAUCCCCGGGCUCAACCUGGGAAUGGCAUUCGGGACUGCAAGGCUGGAGUGCGGCAGAGGAGACUGGAAUUCCUGGUGUAGCAGUGAAAUGCGUAGAUAUCAGGAGGAAUACCGAUGGCGAAGGCAGGUCUCUGGGCUGACACUGACGCUCAUGCACGAAAGCGUGGGGAGCAAACAGG